GGCCUGGUGGUGUAACUGGAAACACGUCUUCACAUUUUUCACAUGUCUCAGCGUCAUUCAGAGGAAAUUCCCCGUUCGAUUCGGGGCCAGGCCA